CACGGGGACAGGACCCGUGGGCAGAAGAUGUUGCACUGUUAUCCUGAGGAGCGGCUGAUUAUAUACACAGGAGUUGGAAAGAAGAAACUCUGCUAGAGACGUAUUUCCUCACCAUCACUUCCCCUGAUGACGUGCCCUGCUCCUUCACCAUUAGUUCUGCUGUCACCCCUCAUGGAAGCUUUCUUUCACCUUUCAUUAAGCACAGAGAUUUUUUUGACUGAAGGCAGAGAUGUCAGCGAUACUCAAAGUGUGAGAAAAGCUCAGCUCAGGGCUGUUGCUUUAAAAUGGAAAAACUGUAUGAGAGGAACCCAGAUGAGCUAAGUUGAUGAGGGAAUCCCCCAGCUGAGAAAUAGGAACCUCCGUCCCAUCAUCACAAUGCACUGAACUCAGCUAACAACGUUCAUGAGACCAUGCAAGUAAAUUCUUCAUCAGAGCAUCCUGAUAAAACACUAGCCCAGGGCUUCUCAUGGCCUUUUAUUAUCACAUAUAUAGUGAUAAAAAAAUACUCUACUUUAUAAACUGCAACUUUCUUCUGAUGGAUAUGUAAGAGUUAUGUAAUUUUGGAAUUCAUCUGCUCUAUUCAUGAUAAAACACUUAGUGACAAAAUACAAAGAGUUGCAGUAUUAAUCUAAAACAAUGAGGUUUUCAUGGAUAAUGAAAAAAAUAAGUGAAAUGAAAAGCAAGGAUCCUGAAAGAAAUAAAGAAGAAAAAGAAGUUUUCUCUCAGAUUAAAUCAUCUGGCACCAUCAAGACUGAAACUACCUCAGGAAGAGGAUGGAGUCAGUCACAGUGAGAACAAAUGGAUUAAAUAAAACCAGGGACCAAGAUUUAGGACAAUCACAAACCUAUAAAAAAAAAGAAAAGAAAAGAAAAGAAAAAGGUGAGGUAGGAAGUAUGAAAGCAGGGUAAA